rnacentral:rRNA from 1 species
GGUUAAGCGACCAAGCGUAUACGGUGGAUGCCUUGGCAGUCAGAGGCGAUGAAGGACGUAGUAACUUGCGAAAAGCGUUGGUGAGCCAGUAACAAGCAUUUGAGCCAGCGAUGUCCGAAUGGGGAAACCCGGCAGCAUAAGCUGUCAUCAAUACGUGAAUACAUAGCGUAUUGAGGCGAACGAGGGGAACUGAAACAUCUAAGUACCCUUAGGAAAAGAAAUCAACCGAGAUUCCCCAAGUAGCGGCGAGCGAACGGGGAUUAGCCCUUAAGUCUUUGGGGUGUUAGUGGAAUGUGUUGGAAAGCACAGCGGCACAGGGUGAUAGCCCCGUACACGU